UGGUUGACCUCGGAUCAGG
rnacentral:rRNA from 1 species